CCUACGGGGGGCUGCAGUGGGGAAUUUUGGACAAUGGGGGCAACCCUGAUCCAGCAAUGCCGCGUGAGUGAAGAAGGCCUUCGGGUUGUAAAGCUCUUUUGUCCGGGAAGAAAUCCCAUCCCUGAAUACGGGAUGGGGAUGACGGUACUGGAAGAAUAAGCACCGGCUAACUACGUGCCAGCAGCCGCGGUAAUACGUAGGGUGCAAGCGUUAAUCGGAAUUACUGGGCGUAAAGCGUGCGCAGGCGGUUGUGCAAGACCGAUGUGAAAUCCCCG
rnacentral:rRNA from 1 species